rnacentral:lncRNA from 1 species
CAGGACUACAUGAAUGUGUAUGACCAAGAUAACGAAAGCAUUAUUACAGACUUGCUAAUAAAGAUCUGAGGAAAUUAACAAACAUAGUUUAUCCAUGUGAGACAAGUUAACCCUGAGUCCAGAUCUCUAUCUUCAAAUUAAUUAUCUUUCUACGUUGGAUUCAAUUGCAAGAAACCACCACAUUUGCAGCUAGGUUUGCAGAAAACCACCAAGUUGUUAAUCCGUUGCAAAAAAACACCGCAAUUUCUCUAAUCUUAUUGCAAAAAGCACUGAUCGGGUGAUUAGAUCCGUUUGAUCGCUUUGUGACAAGUGGGACCGAAUUUUGAGGAGCUGACAUAGCAAAAAAUUAGCAUACACACCCCUGAAACAAAUAAGAAAACGCAAUCAACCCCUGCUCCCGAGCAACCCCAUUGCUCCCGAGACCAACCCCAUUGCUCCCGAUAAUCAUGCGGCGGCGGCAGCAGGG